rnacentral:rRNA from 1 species
GACCCGUCUUGAAACACGGACCAAGGAGUCUAGCAUGUGCGCGAGUCAUUGGGAUCUAGAAUUAAACCCAGAGGCGUAAUGAAAGUGAAAGGCGGGGCCUCGCGCUCCGCCACCAGGGAAGAUGCGCGCCCGUCUCCGGCACGGGCCGCCGCAUUCCCGAGGCGUUUCGAGAAAGUCACCGUGCGAUUAUCGAGACGCACUGAGAGCGUACACGCUGGGACCCGAAAGAUGGUGAACUAUGCCUGGUCAGGUCGAAGUCAGGGGAAACCCUGAUGGAGGCCGAAGCGAUUCUGACGUGCAAAUCGAUCGUCGGAACUGGGUAUAGGGGCGAAAGACUAAUCGAACUAUCUAAUAGCUGGUUCCAUCCGAAGUUUCCCUCAGGAUAGCUGGCGCUCGGGAAACAUGCGCGCCCUUCAGUGCGGCGGCGCAUUCGAACAGUCUCAUCCGGUAAAGCGAAUGAUUAGAGGCAUUGGGGCCGAAAUGGCCUCAACCUAUUCUCAAACUUUAAAUGGGUGAGAUCUCCGUCUUGCUCGAAGAUGAAGUCGGAGCUCGGAUGGGAGUGCCAAGUGGGCCAAUUUUGGUAAGCAGAACUGGCGCUGUGGGAUGAACCAAACGUCGAGUUAAGGCGCCCAAUGAACGCUCAUCGGAGACCAUAAAAGGCGUUGGUCGCUCAGGACAGCAGGACGGUGGCCAUGGAAGUCGGAAUCCGCUAAGGAGUGUGU